rnacentral:ncRNA from 1 species
AAUGCCCUGUUUUUCGCGAAGUCCUACGUUCCACGUAGGAUAGAACCUAACGGUCUAGCGUAAACGGGGCUUU